AUGAACGCUAGCUACAGGCUUAACACAUGCAAGUCGAGGGGCAGCAUGGUCUUAGCUUGCUAAGGCCGAUGGCGACCGGCGCACGGGUGAGUAACACGUAUCCAACCUGCCGUCUACUCUUGGACAGCCUUCUGAAAGGAAGAUUAAUACAAGAUGGCAUCAUGAGUCCACAUGUUCACAUGAUUAAAGGUAUUCCGGUAGACGAUGGGGAUGCGUUCCAUUAGAUAGUAGGCGGGGUAACGGCCCACCUAGUCUUCGAUCAGUAGGGGUUCUGAGAGGAAGGUCCCCCACAUUGGAACUGAGACACGGUCCAAACUCCUACGGGAGGCAGCAGUGAGGAAUAUUGGUCAAUGGGCGAGAGCCUGAACCAGCCAAGUAGCGUGCAGGAUGACGGCCCUAUGGGUUGUAAACUGCUUUUAUAAGGGAAUAAAGUGGGAGUCGUGACUCUUUUUGCAUGUACCUUAUGAAUAAGGACCGGCUAAUUCCGUG
rnacentral:rRNA from 1 species